rnacentral:rRNA from 1 species
GGAAUAUUGCACAAUGGGGGAAACCCUGAUGCAGCGACGCCGCGUGAGUGAAGAAGUAUUUCGGUAUGUAAAGCUCUAUCAGCAGGAAAGAAAAUGACGGUACCUGACUAAGAAGCCCCGGCUAACUACGUGCCAGCAGCCGCGGUAAUACGUAGGGGGCAAGCGUUGUUCGGAAUCACUGGGUGUAAAGGGAGCGUAGGCGGUCUGCCAAGUCUGAUGUGAAAACCCGGGGCUCAACCCCGGGAGUGCAUUGGAAACUGGCGGACUGGAGUGUCGGAGAGGUAAGCGGAAUUCCUAGUGUAGCGGUGAAAUGCGUAGAUAUUAGGAGGAACACCAGUGGCGAAGGCGGCUUACUGGACGAUAACUGACGCUGAGGCUCGAAAGCGUGGGGAGCAAAC